UUUUGUGGUUCUUAGAAGGUAGCAGCAGGAGAGGAGCCAAUUUGCAUAAAGGCGACCUGAUUGGCCAUAUGCAAAUGAGCGAGUGCCAGGAUUUUAAAAAGGAGUUAGCCAAGGAUGACAGUUGAAAGAAAAAAAAACUGAACAUUCUAUGGGAGAAAAAGUCAGUUAGGAAGAGAUGGAGCUAACUGCAAGGUCAUGGUAGUUUAGUUGUCGGUGAAUAAGAGUCAGGGACUACGUUAAUAAAGAGUAUUUGAAGAAAUAGUCAAAAGAAUAAGUGCCACAUAGUCAAGAGUCUGCCUCUAUGUAAUAAUAAGCAAGUCUUUCUGUGUGUGAAGAAAAGAUUGAAGGAAAGAUGUAAUCAGAGAAUGUUACUCAACCAAGAAACUGUAGGGGCAAAGAUGUAAAAAUACUCCUCUUAAUCCAAAGUCAAAAGCAGGAGGCCCCUUUUCUGUGGAGAGGGCGAGGAAAAACACCACAAAAAGUUGGAUCUUCAAACUGCAAAAGAACUAUUUAUUGCGUGGCCAUAGCAAUACGACAAAUACGUGCAUUCAUGCAAUCAAAGGAUUUGUCCAAUUUUCAAAAUGGUUGCAAGGGUUUUUAUCACUUCCACAGAAAAUAGCAAGCAUAUCCUUAUUGGCUUACAAAGAUUAUUUACCCCAUUCGUCUAAUAUUGGGUACGUCACAAGCAUCUUAACCAUCAUGCAAUUCCAUUGGUUUUCUAUGCUGUAACAACAUGUGACUCUUUAGACAAUGGUGCUUUCAUGUUAUUGACCCUGACUUGUUGCAAGUAUAGGUUCAAAACUGUAUGAGAAUCCUAGGGAGUAGUGGGUAACCAGUUCUGACUUGAUGUAUUGUUAUUAUUGAAAGUAACUUCUUUUUCUCUGGAACAACUCUUUUUCCAAACAUCAGCAUUUUUUCUCAAGCGCAGGCCUUUCUCAAACAUAGGCCUUUUGCAAGUUAGGUCAAUCAAAACAUAUGGGACUUGUAGUCAUUACUGUUUCUCCACACACUUAAUACAAUUUAAAGAGUCACAGAAGGUCCCUGCAGGCUUCGUUUAAGAACAAGUGUGCGUUCCAUCCAGCCCUAAACUACAUUUCCCAGAAUUCUGCUUACAUCAGAAAGCACCAGUCAGGAAAGGGAAGAGAGUUCCAAUGAAUGGCUGAAUCUGCAAAGAGGAGGACUGACUGAUACUUCUAGAAGGCUUUGAUGUAGGAGCCCCCGGUGGCACAGCUGAGCUGCUGAACUUGCUGACCAAAAGGAGUGACAGAAUUGGCUGUCUGCAAGGACAUUACCCAGGGGAAGGCUGGAUGUUUUGAUGUUUUCACCAUCCUUGUGAGAGGCUUCUCUCAUGUCUGUACAUGGAGCUGGAGCUGAUACAGGGAGCUCAUCUGCACUCUCCCUGGGUUGGAUUUCACCCAGCAACUUUCAGAAACACCAGGCUCAACCAGAAAAUCCAUAUCCUUAUCCUCAGAGGCUUCACAGGCCUCAACACAAAUUGAAGUCCAAGUCCAGAAAUCAAAGCCAGGAAGGCAGUCCAAGAUUCAGAUUCAAGCGUUCCAGAAGCAACAAGGUCCAAGACAAGGUUACAGGAAUGGCAGAGUCCAAAACAGAAUUGCAGGGACAAGGUGAGACUCCAGAGUUCUAAUGCAGGGACCAUAGGCAAGGUCAAAGACAUGAGUACCAAACUACGAUGUUAUCUGCUACAGAAGAACUAUCUCUUCUAGAUCCCUUAUUUUUCCCGAGACUUGAGCUGCUGCUCAUUUCAUCUAGCUUGUUCAUCACAGAAACCUGUGAGGCGUUCCUCAGGGAGGUAGGUCAGUUUGACUCCUUCCAUGCACACCACAGCAGCUGAGUCAGGUCAGACAAAUCACUGGCCGUCACAGUCAGGCACAUUGGGAUCUAAGGAUAUUACCAUUGAUAAUCUUCUGGUUUUUUACUUGUAAACAUUGGCUAUUCCUCUCUGGGUGGAUAUGUGCAUAGUACACAAUCUUUCAGGCUCCUAAACUGUUUCAAAUGUUGCAUUAUUGCACCAUCACCCAAACUGAAGUAAAAUUCAGUCACCCAAUCUAUCUUAUCUCUAUCGCUGGAACUGAGAAGGAAUGCCAUCUUAUCUUUUGCCUCAGGCAACACAAUAUUUCAGCAGUAGCUGGUUGAUCAGAGACAGGAAAAGAUAUAGGAUAAAAUGUACUUGUCUUAUCUGGAGAGUUGCUGUAGUCUAAUUGAACUUUGUCACAGAUUAGGUAAGUGAUAAGAGAAAGAAAGUGGGAAAUUAUCUUCUCCUUCUAGUGUGUUUCCUAUUUUAUAUUUUAUAUUAUAUGAUCCUCUCCUCCCCCCCCCCAAAACUACAAUAAAAUAAAAUUUAAAAGAAUUAAAAUUAAAUUCCUGCCUUCCCAUAUAAAGACAUCUUUAGUGCACCAUUGUGUAUCAUCCCAUUUAUCAUAAUGGGUUAAAAUCUUUCAUUCUAUUUUUUAACUUCAACAAUUUAUUAUAAUAAUUUAAUCUCCACAUGUGACUUCAUAUUUUUCCUUUUUAACCUAAGUCAUAAAGUGUCCCCGUCAUUUUAAAGAUUGUCUGUUUAUUUCCCUUUUAUCAAACAAAAAGUUUAUUCAUUUUUCCUAUUACCAUGUAAUGUAAUAUUUUAGCAGUCAGCCUUUCAGUCUGUUCAUUCAGUAAAUCCAAGGAUGAUAAGCCUGGCCAACAGCCAAAGGAUUUGGCUGGAGGAAAGCAAUUGAAGUCCCCUUGAAAGACCAGUUAAUACUAGUCUUGUGCAUUUGUAUGGAAUCACUGCCCGUUUCUAUUUGUACCAUUUGUAUAACCCAAUUUCCGUUUCCGUUUGCCUCUUACAGAAACGGGUGCCUAUACAAAGUUGGCUUUUUAGUCCAAGAUCCAAAAAAAACAAAGAUUUUUUAGAACUUG